UUUAGGCAGCCAAUUUCGUAUUUGAUAAUUACGGGUGAUUAUAGCCAAUUUCGUAUUCAAAAGUAAAUUAUCUUACUCGAUUUUGUAUUAUCGAAUAAGAGAUUGUGUAAGACCAUUUACCGUAUUAUACUCGUAAUCCACAAUCACUCAGAUGACCCAAAAAGAAGUUUCGGACUCUAUCCCUACCAAAGUCUCAAGUUACAUUCAAAAGCAAAAUAGAUAAAAUAAAGAAAGGACUACAAAAAAUCAUUGUGUGAGGGGAAAAAGUAAGAAAAGAUAAAAAUAA
rnacentral:lncRNA from 1 species